AUUGAACGCUGGCGGCAAGCCUUACACAUGCAAGUCGAACGGUAACAGGUCUUCGGAUGCUGACGAGUGGCGAACGGGUGAGUAAUACAUCGGAACGUGCCUAGUAGUGGGGGAUAACUACUCGAAAGAGUGGCUAAUACCGCAUGAGAUCUACGGAUGAAAGCAGGGGAUCGAAAGACCUUGUGCUACUAGAGCGGCCGAUGGCAGAUUAGGUAGUUGGUGGGAUAAAAGCUUACCAAGCCGACGAUCUGUAGCUGGUCUGAGAGGACGAUCAGCCACACUGGGACUGAGACACGGCCCAGACUCCUACGGGAGGCAGCAGUGGGGAAUUUUGGACAAUGGGCGAAAGCCUGAUCCAGCAAUGCCGCGUGCAGGAUGAGGGCCUUCGGGUUGUAAACUGCUUUUGUACGGAACGAAAAGCCCUGGGUUAAUACCCUGGGGUCAUGACGGUACCGUAAGAAUAAGCACCGGCUAACUACGUGCCAGCCGCCGCCGUAAGAC
rnacentral:rRNA from 1 species